rnacentral:rRNA from 1 species
UACGUAGGGGGCGAGCGUUGUCCGGAUUUAUUGGGCGUAAAGAGCUCGUAGGCGGCUUGGCAAGUCGGAUGUGAAAUCCCUCGGCUCAACCAAGGAAGUGCAUCCGAAACUGCUGAGCUUGAGUACUUAAGAGGAUCGCGGAAUUCCCGGUGUAGAGGUGAAAUUCGUAGAUAUCGGGAGGAACACCAGUGGCGAAGGCGGCGAUCUGGGAAGAUACUGACGCUGAGGUGCGAAAGCGUGGGGAGCAAACAGG